AACGAACGCUGGCGGCAUGCCUAACACAUGCAAGUCGAACGAGACCUUCGGGUCUAGUGGCGCACGGGUGCGUAACGCGUGGGAACCUUCCCUUAUGUUCGGAAUAACUCCCCGACAGGGGUGCUAAUACCGGAUAAUGUCUUCGGACCAAAGAUUUAUCGCCUUGGGAUGGGCCCGCGUUGGAUUAGCUCGUGGGUAGGGUAAAAGCCUACCAAGGCGACGAUCCAUAGCUGGUCUGAGAGGAUGAUCAGCCACACUGGGACUGAGACACGGCCCAGACUCCUACGGGAGGCAGCAGUGGGGAAUAGUGGACAAUGGGCGAAAGCAUGAUCCAGCAAUGCCGCGUGAGUGAUGAAGGCCUUAGGGUUGUAAAGCUCUUUUACCCGGGAUGAUAAUGACAGUACCGGGAGAAUAAGCCCCGGCUAACUACGUG
rnacentral:rRNA from 1 species